rnacentral:rRNA from 1 species
UACGAAGGGGGCUAGCGUUGCUCGGAAUCACUGGGCGUAAAGCGCACGUAGGCGGAUCCUUAAGUCGGGGGUGAAAUCCUGGAGCUCAACUCCAGAACUGCCUUCGAUACUGAGGAUCUCGAGUCCGGGAGAGGUGAGUGGAACUGCGAGUGUAGAGGUGAAAUUCGUAGAUAUUCGCAAGGACACCAGUGGCGAAGGCGGCUCACUGGCCCGGUACUGACGCUGAGGUGCGAAAGCGUGGGGAGCGAACAGG